rnacentral:rRNA from 1 species
UACGUAGGUGGCAAGCGUUGUCCGGAUUUAUUGGGCGUAAAGCGCUCGCAGGUGGUCCGUCGCGUCGUGCGUGAAAGACCCCGGCUCAACUGGGGAGGGUCGUGCGAUACGGGCGGACUGGAGGCCAGUAGGGGGAUGCGGAAUUCCGGGUGUAGUGGUGGAAUGCGUAGAGAUCCGGAGGAACACCAGCGGCGAAGGCGGCAUCCUGGACUGGUCCUGACACUCAGGAGCGAAAGCGUGGGGAGCGAUCCGG